UGGAAGGAACGUUGCGAUGCUCUCUGUAUUAUAUCACAGGAAACUUGCCAAGCUUCCCUAGGGACCCUGAAAAGGCAGUAAUCUGGGCAAAAUACGUGGCAGAAAAGAAUGGCUAUUUGGGCCACGUCAUCCGAAAAGCCCUCAAUGCUUAUCUGGAUUUGUCAUGGCACGAGGCCUUGCUGUAUUACAUUCUGUCUGCAGAGACCGGGAUCGAAGUGUCGCAGACCAAUUUAGCACACCUCUGCGAAGAGAGACCAAAUGUGGCAAAAAGAUACUUGGCUACUGACUGCGUGUGGAGAUACUAUAAUCUCUCAGUUUCUCAACACAACGCUC